rnacentral:rRNA from 1 species
GACGAACGCUGGCGGCGUGCCUAAUACAUGCAAGUAGAACGCACAGUUUAUACCGUAGCUUGCUACACCAUAGACUGUGAGUUGCGAACGGGUGAGUAACGCGUAGGUAACCUGCCUGGGAGCGGGGGAUAACUAUUGGAAACGAUAGCUAAUACCGCAUAAUAUUAAUUAUUGCAUGAUAAUUAAUUGAAAGGUGCAAUUGCACCACUACCAGAUGGACCUGCGUUGUAUUAGCUAGUAGGUGAGGUAACGGCUCACCUAGGCGACGAUACAUAGCCGACCUGGGAAGGUGAUCGGCCACACUGGGAAUGAGGCACGGCCCAGACUUCUACGGGAGGCAGCAGUAGGGAAUUAUCGGACAUGGACGGAAGUCUGAACGCGCAACGCCGCGUGAGUGGAGAAGGUCUUCGGAUCGUAAAACUCUGUUGUAAGAGAAGAACGGGUAUGAGAGUGGAAAGUUCACACUGUGACGGUAUCUUACCAGAAAGGGACGGCUAACUACGUG